GAUGAACGCUAGCGGCAGGCUUAAUACAUGCAAGUCGUGGGGCAGCAGGUUUGUAGCAAUACAGAUGCUGGCGACCGGCAAACGGGUGCGGAACACGUACAGAACCUUCCUUUGAGCGGGGAAUAGCCCAGAGAAAUUUGGAUUAAUACCCCAUAGUAUAAUGAAGUGGCAUCACUUUAUUAUUAAAGAUUUAUCACUCGAAGAUGGCUGUGCGGCUGAUUAGGUAGUUGGCGGGGUAAAGGCCCACCAAGCCUGCGAUCAGUAACUGGUGUGAGAGCACGACCAGUCACACGGGCACUGAGACACGGGCCCGACUCCUACGGGAGGCAGCAGUAAGGAAUAUUGGUCAAUGGAGGCAACUCUGAACCAGCCAUGCCGCGUGGAGGAUGAAGGUCCUCUGGAUUGUAAACUUCUUUUAUAUUGGGACGAAAAAAGGCUUUUACUAAGUACGUCUGACGGUACCAUAUGAAUAAGCACCGGCUAACUCCGUGCCAGCAGCCG
rnacentral:rRNA from 1 species